rnacentral:rRNA from 1 species
AAUCAACGCUGGCGGCGUGCCUCAGACAUGCAAGUCGAACGCGAAAGGUUCCUUCGGGGACCGAGUAGAGUGGCGCACGGGUGAGUAACACGUAGGUAAUUUGCCUUUGGGUGGGGAAUAACUCAGGGAAACUUGAGCUAAUACCGCAUAAUGCAGCGGCUCGACAUCGAGACAGUUGUUAAAGCGGGGGAUUCGCAAGAACCUCGCGCCUAAAGAGAAGCCUGCGGCAGAUUAGCUAGUUGGUAAGGUAAUGGCUUACCAAGGCACGAUCUGUAACCGGCCUGAGAGGGCGGUCGGUCACACUGACACUGACAUACGGGUCAGACUCCUACGGGA